rnacentral:rRNA from 1 species
GAUGAACGCUGGCGGCGUGCCUAAUACAUGCAAGUCGAGCGAACGGACGAGAAGCUUGCUUCUCUGAUGUUAGCGGCGGACGGGUGAGUAACACGUGGAUAACCUACCUAUAAGACUGGGAUAACUUCGGGAAACCGGAGCUAAUACCGGAUAAUAUUUUGAACCGCAUGGCUCAAAAGUGAAAGACGGUCUUGCUGUCACUUAUAGAUGGAUCCGCGCUGCAUUAGCUAGUUGGUAAGGUAACGGCUUACCAAGGCAACGAUGCAUAGCCGACCUGAGAGGGUGAUCGGCCACACUGGAACUGAGACACGGUCCAGACUCCUACGGGAGGCAGCAGUAGGGAAUCUUCCGCAAUGGGCGAAAGCCUGACGGAGCAACGCCGCGUGAGUGAUGAAGGUCUUCGGAUCGUAAAACUCUGUUAUUAGGGAGGAACAUAUGUGUAAGUAACUGUGCACAUCUUGACGGUACCUAAUCAGAAAGCCACGGCUAACUACGUG